GGCUUCACCUGCUAAAAUUAAACCAGUCAGCUCCUGAAAUUUGGAUAAUGCCGCAGAGGAAAUGUUGCCUUCUCCUAAAGUGGAGCCACACUGAAACACCUGAGGACAACAAAGGAGGUAAGGAAAAAACAAAGCAAGCUUGCUUAUAUCUGAUGAUGUUUGGUUGAUUUUUUUCUGGAAAAUCAGUACCAUGGGUAGACUGGUGUAGCAGCCAGAAGGAAAUGUCAAGGGUGUUCCAGCCAUGAAGAUUUUGGGUUGAAUAGCUCUGUACUUCCCUGCAACUAUAGCUGUAAAAUUAGAAGAGGAAUAAUAGUACUCGUUUAGAAUUCCUGUAUAUCCAUACAGGAGAAUAAUGCUCUAUAUGUUAGCAUUCAUUUAUAGUAUCAGUGAAUGAAUGGAGUUUGAGUGAGCUUCUGGAUAAUUUAUCAGAAAUGAAUAAUGCAAAAUGAUUCUUAAAAAAAAAAAUCAAGUAAAUCACUGUGUAACAACAGCCCUGCACUAAACAAACUGCUGCUACUGGAAGAGAUACUUCCUGUAAUUUUAAGUCCUUCUCUGCUCCAAGUAGAAAAAUCACACUUACAGGCACAAAGAUGCCAGAGCAGGCUCUGAAGACAGAGAGGAAGACAGAAGACAGAGAGGAUUCUCUGUAAAACCAGGGAUAGAAAAGGAGAGAGAGCAAGGGGGGAUUCAUACCCUUAGAAAGCAGAAAUGGAUCAGGUUGAGUGGAAAAAAAUUAACCUCAGGACAACAGAAGAGUGACCUGAUAAAAUGCAAUUUACUGAAAAGGAGGGGCAAGAUCCGUGGGUGGAGGGGUGGGUGCUCUGUGUGGUGAGCACUGAAGCUGACAGAUGAAGGGCACAGUACAGCCAAACAAAACUUGCAAGUGAUUAAAUACACUAUUCAAAAGACAUUAAGUUCCUGUGGAAGACAGAUGGAGUUGACAUUAGGAGAAGAA